rnacentral:rRNA from 1 species
UGGGGAAUUUUGGACAAUGGGGGAAACCCUGAUCCAGCCAUCCCGCGUGUGCGAUGAAGGCCUUCGGGUUGUAAAGCACUUUUGGCAGGAAAGAAACGUCAUGGGUUAAUACCCCGUGAAACUGACGGUACCUGCAGAAUAAGCACCGGCUAACUACGUGCCAGCAGCCGCGGUAAUACGUAGGGUGCAAGCGUUAAUCGGAAAUACUGGGCGUAAAGCGUGCGCAGGCGGUUCGGAAAGAAAGAUGUGAAAUCCCAGAGCUCAACUUUGGAACUGCAUUUUUAACUACCGGGCUAGAGUGUGUCAGAGGGAGGUAGAAUUCCGCGUGUAGCAGUGAAAUGCGUAGAUAUGCGGCGCAACACCUAUGGCGAACGCAGCCUCCUGGGAUAACACUCACGCUCAUUCACGAAAGCGGGGAGCAAACAGG